UUUAAAGGAUAAAAGAC
rnacentral:tRNA from 1 species